CAAACCUCCCCAAUUCCAUCCCCAUUCCCUUCCCCAAAAAUUUCCCCACCGGCGACGACGCCCUCCCCAAAUCCGAUCCGCCGCCGCCCGCCGUUGACGCCAGCCAUGGCCGCCGCCGCCCGCCGCGCCCUGCUCCUCCUCCUCGCCGCCGCCGCCGUGGCCCUCCUCGCGGCGCCCCCGGCGGCCGCCGCCCGCCCCUGCGGCCGCGCGCAGACGCUCCUCAUCUCCUUCUCUCCUCCUUCUCCCGCCCCAACCCGGACCCCGCCGACCCGUCGCCGCUCACCACCACCGUCGUCACCGUCCUCCGCGUCCGCCGCCUCGGCCCGCACCGCUUCCACGCCCACGACCAGAACCGCCUCCAGAUCCGCCGCCCCGCCGAGCCCCUCCCCGCCGUUGGCACCCCCGAGCGCGACGCCGACGCCGACGCCGCCUCCUCCUUCCAGGAGCGCGCCAAGGACAUCCUCGUCGUCGUCUCGGGCCUGCUCUUCGGCUUCGGCUGCGGCGCCCUCACCGCCGCCUCCAUGUACCUCGUCUGGUCCCUCGUCGCCUCCACCGGCGCCGCCGGCCCCUACGAGGAGCUCUACAGCGACGACGACGACGAGGACAACGUCUCCGACGACGGCGCCGAGAGCCCCAAGAAGGCCGGCUACGUCAUCAUCCACGGCGCCGAGGACGUCGCCGCCGCCGCCGGUAAGAACUAACUAGGAUCGGGCCUUGCCGUCGUCGGCAGGCAGAGGAUUCGGGUUGCAUAACUACAUGGAAUUGUGGAGUACUGUUAUUACUAUAUAUUCGCACCUAUGAUACAUGUUGCGCCUGUCUACCGUUCUCUAUGUGUGUGUGUGGUUGGGGAGGACAAAUUGUGAAGAAUGUGAUUCCUAUCUGUUCUUACAUAUAUAUGGUCAAUCUCAUGCCCAAACAUGAUUAUGUAUCCGUCCUUGAGCAUGGAACUUGUUGGUUUCUGCUGCCUAGUAAAAUUGCAACAUGUAAA